ACUUUGGCAUCAUGCAUCGAGGAUUCAACAAAAAUUCAAACGGCAUUCCAAGAAAUGAAGCAGGAAAGUUGUUCAUUGGUGGAUUAAGCUGGGAUACAGACCAAGAUUCUCUGCUGAACUUCUUCAGUCAGUAUGGAGAAGUCAUCGACUGUGUGGUCAUGAAGAAUCAACAGACUGGGAAGUCACGUGGAUUUGGUUUUGUCACAUUUAAUGAUGCACAGUGUGUAGACACAGUCCUCUCUGCUGCUCCACAUACAAUUGAUGGCAGACAGGUUGAUGCCAAGCCAUGCAAUCCCAAGGCAGCCCAGCUACAGUCCCUACGGACAACCUCCAGCAGCAGCUGCUGCCCCAGCUACUCCCGGUUAUACCCCAGCCCCGGGGACUCAGUCAUACAGCUCACAUUACAAUGUAGCAGUCGCUGAUCCAUCCCAACCAGCAACACCCACAACUGCUCAAGCAGGAUACAGCACAUAUAACCCAUAUGGAGCCCCACAGACACCAGCUUCUGCUGUGCCUGACCCCUAUGCUCCAACUUCACAGCCAGCCACUGCCCCAGGAUAUGGAGAUCCUCCAGGUUUUGGUGUGGCCCCACAACCAGCAGCUGGAUAUGGAGGUCAAGGUGAUGGACAGGCUGGGGGAUAUGCUGCCCAGCCCGGCGGGGGAUACCAGAGGCCCUCGGUGUCCUCGGCCCAAGGAUACCACCCAUACAGAAGAUAGAGGCAUUUGUUUCUGAACAGAGGAAAUUUUAAGCUGUUUGUUUCUGAACAGAGGAAAUUUUAAGCUGUAUUGUGUACAGCAUAUAUAGAGAUUACUCACUGAAUAUUAGGGCCACCUGUUGGUUAUAACUGAUGACAUUUUACGUCAUUGCUGAACUGUAAACAGUGCUACUUCACCAUCAUCAUGAACUGGAAUGGAAUUUCAUCAUCUGUGAAGUACUGCCAUCUUGUGUGUAAAGCUAUUUUCUCAUAUUCAUAUUGUUUUUAAAGAUGUUGAAUUGUCAUUUACUUGUUCGUGUACAUGUGUUUUUUAUAUGCUCUGUAAAAAAUGUUAUUUUUUUUCAAAAAUUGGUUUUAGAAAUUGCUGGUUUUUACCAAAUGAUAAAUUUCAUACAUUACAACAUGUUUAAAGUCAGUCAAGAUAGGCAGCUAAUGUGGUAUCUUCAUUUUCUAAAGAAUGUACACUGUACAUGGUCAACUUCAGCUAAAAUAUUUAGAUAAUAAUUAAGGAAAUGCGUUUGAUUUUGUCUACCUAGUAGUAUGUUUGUGAAACUUCAAUUUAGAAUACAUUUAUAGACUU
rnacentral:misc_RNA from 1 species